rnacentral:rRNA from 1 species
AGUCGAGGGGCAGCGGUGGUGAAGGCUUGCCUUUACCAGCCGGCGACCGGCGCACGGGUGAGUAACACGUAUGCAACCUGCCUGCCACAGCCGGAUAAUCGGGAGAAAUUCCGUCUAAUACGGCAUAAUGCACCUAUGGGACAUCAUGUUGGUGCCAAAGGUUGAUUCCGGUGGCGGAUGGGCAUGCGUCGCAUUAGUUAGUUGGCGGUGUAACGGACCACCAAGACGACGAUGCGUAGGGGUUCUGAGAGGAAGGUCCCCCACACUGGUACUGAGACACGGACCAGACUCCUACGGGAGGCAGCAGUGAGGAAUAUUGGUCAAUGGGCGGGAGCCUGAACCAGCCAAGUCGCGUGAGGGAUGACGGCCCUAUGGGUUGUAAACCUCUUUUGCCGGGGAACAAAGUGCCGCACGUGUGCGGUUUGGAAAAAAACCGUAGAAAAAGCAUCGGCUAACUCCAAACCAGCAGCCGCGGUAAUACGGAGGAUGCGAGCGUUAUCCGGAUUUAUUGGGUUUAAAGGGUGCGUAGGCGGACGCUUAAGUCAGCGGUAAAAUUGCGGGGCUCAACCUCGUCGAGCCGUUGAAACUGGGUGCCUUGAGUGGGCGAGAAGUACGCGGAAUGCGUGGUGUAGCGGUGAAAUGCAUAGAUAUCUUGAAGAACUCCGAUUGCGAAGGCAGCGUACCGGCGCCCAACUGACGCUGAAGCAAGAAGGCGUGGGUAUCGAACAGGAUUAGAUACCCUGGUAGUCCACGCAGUAAACGAUGAAUGCUAGUUGUCCGGGGCGAUUGAGUUCUGGGUGACACAGCGAAAGCGUUAAGCAUUCCACCUGGGGAGUACGCCGGCAACGGUGAAACUCAAAGGAAUUGACGGGGGCCCGCACAAGCGGAGGAACAUGUGGUUUAAUUCGAUGAUACGCGAGGAACCUUACCCGGGCUCAAACGCAGGAGGGAUGUUUUUGAAAGGAGGCAGCCAGCAAUGGUCUCCUGCGAGGUGCUGCAUGGUUGUCGUCAGCUCGUGCCGUGAGGUGUCGGCUUAAGUGCCAUAACGAGCGCAACCCCUACCUACAGUUGCCAUCGCGUGAUGGCGGGCACUCUGUGGGGACUGCCUGCGCAAGCAGUGAGGAAGGCGGGGAUGACGUCAAAUCAGCACGGCCCUUACGUCCGGGGCGACACACGUGUUACAAUGGCAGGUACAGCGGGAAGCCACCCGGCGACGGGGCGCGGAACCCGAAAACCUGUCUCAGUUCGGAUUGGAGUCUGCAACCCGACUCCAUGAAGCUGGAUUCGCUAGUAA